ACUCCUACGGGAGGCAGCAGUGGGGAAUAUUGCACAAUGGGGGAAACCCUGAUGCAGCCAUGCCGCGUGUGUGAAGAAGGCCUUCGGGUUGUAAAGCACUUUCAGCGAGGAGGAAAGGUUGGCGCCUAAUACGUGUCAACUGUGACGUUACUCGCAGAAGAAGCACCGGCUAACUCCGUGCCAGCAGCCGCGGUAAUACGGAGGGUGCAAGCGUUAAUCGGAAUUACUGGGCGUAAAGCGCACGCAGGCGGUUGGAUAAGUUAGAUGUGAAAGCCCCGGGCUCAACCUGGGAAUUGCAUUUAAAACUGUCCAGCUAGAGUCUUGUAGAGGGGGGUAGAAUUCCAGGUGUAGCGGUGAAAUGCGUAGAGAUCUGGAGGAAUACCGGUGGCGAAGGCGGCCCCCUG
rnacentral:rRNA from 1 species